rnacentral:rRNA from 1 species
UACGAAGGGGGCUAGCGUUGUUCGGAAUUACUGGGCGUAAAGGGCGCGUAGGCGGUGUGUCAAGUCAGGCGUGAAAGCCCCGGGCUCAACCUGGGAACCGCGCUUGAGACUGGCACGCUCGAGUUCGGGAGAGGAUGGUGGAAUUCCCAGUGUAGAGGUGAAAUUCGUAGAUAUUGGGAAGAACACCGAUGGCGAAGGCAGCCAUCUGGACCGACACUGACGCUGAGGCGCGAAAGCGUGGGGAGCGAACAGG